GACGAACGCUGGCGGCGUGCCUAAUACAUGCAAGUAGAACGCUGAAGAGAGGAGCUUGCUCUUCUUGGAUGAGUUGCGAACGGGUGAGUAACGCGUAGGUAACCUGCCUGGUAGCGGGGGAUAACUAUUGGAAACGAUAGUUAAUACCGCAUAAAAUGGAUUAUCGCAUGAUAAUCCAUUGAAAGGUGCAAAUGCAUCACUACCAGAUGGACCUGCGUUGUAUUAGCUAGUUGGUGGGGUAACGGCUCACCAAGGCGACGAUACAUAGCCGACCUGAGAGGGUGAUCGGCCACACUGGGACUGAGACACGGCCCAGACUCCUACGGGAGGCAGCAGUAGGGAAUCUUCGGCAAUGGACGGAAGUCUGACCGAGCAACGCCGCGUGAGUGAAGAAGGUUUUCGGAUCGUAAAGCUCUGUUGUAAGAGAAGAACGAGUGGAGAGGGAAAGUUCACA
rnacentral:rRNA from 1 species